rnacentral:tRNA from 1 species
GUGGUUGUAGCUCAGUGGUAGAGCACUAGCUUAUGAGGCACUGGGUUCGAUUCUCAGCACCACA